UCCUCCUUAACUUUAAAACCCCAACGACUACUUCCUCUCUCAUUCUCUAUAUCUUCUUCUCCAUCAAUAACGUUGUUGCAUUAUUUUUGUUUCUUUAGUCUCUUGUUUGAGCUUCGUGGGUCGUUGUUGAAUGGGUGGUAGUAGGUCAGAGGUUGUGAAGGGUGGAAAGAGAGGCAAAAUGAAAGGGCAUGGAGGAGUCACACACAAGGUAUAUAUAUAGUGUAUUUGUUGUUUUACCUUAGCAUGUAUUACAGAACACAAAAGGUUGGCUUUCGUCUUCAAAUAACAUAACAAAAAUGCUCUGUCACGACGGCAUAGAGGUCAUCAGAGUUCUCGGUCUCACUCAUAGAAGAUGAAAAGAGAAAAAAUUUGUAAAAAGCAAAAGUUUCUCCGGGCAUUUUAGUCCCUCUUAGUAAGCACACACAUGAAACCUCAUUUACAAUUACAAAUAACAAGCAUUUGGGUAGAAUCACUUUUUUCAUAUUUGAUGAUUAAAUUAAAAAAAAAUCAUUUUUCAGAUAUUAAAUUAUCAACUAUUUAUAUUUUUAAGAACAAAAAAUAUCAUUUAUCUAUAUAAAAGUAUUUUAGAAAAAAACACAAAAUUUCCCAAUUCCUCUUUCACCCUUUUCUUCAACCUAUUAUUUUUCUCUCCUCAACUCUCCUUUCCAUUCUUUGUCUUUCCCUUCUGUCUCCCAGACACACCCAAAGUGUCAAACCAAACAGAAACAAGAACAAAGAAUACGAAGAAACUCCACUCUCUGCAUUCAAAGUUGCAAUAUUUUCUCAAAUAGGGAACUAAAUCCCUUUGCAUCAGCUUAAUAACGUCCUCUCCUCCGAACUUCUCUUUGGUUCUCUUUAUAGUUUUUCUCACCGCUCUCUCCUCCAUUGUCGGAACACUCAACCUUUCCCACAACUGCUUCACCAACAAGUUUGGAAUUAUGGGAUAACAACCUUAUUGGCGAAAUCCUCUAGGGUGGGUUCCUAGUUUCCAUUCCAGAGGUUAUAAGAUUGACUUGAUGGUGGAGAAAGAAGAAAGUGAUUUGAAUCCUUCUAUUAUCAACAAAAAAUAAUAAUUAACCAUUAGCAUUUAACAUUUGUCGAUUAAAAAAAAAAAACUCUCACUCUCUGCUUGUUAUCCCCAUUGCAAAAUGUGUGCUUCAACUUAUGAAAAUGCUAAGAAUAUUGAAACAAGACCCGAAAGGUCCAAAUGAGAGAACAAAUGCCGCAGGGUGGUGGCCUUUUUGUUGUGGUUGUUGCUAUGUUAACAAGCUCCGACGUAUUGUUGAUUCAAGUUUUUCUGUUUAUAUAACAACAAUUUUUUAACUAUGAUAACGAUAUAUUAUUUUGAAAAAUGGGGGAAAACAAAAGAAAGAAAUUUGGAGAAAGUUAGUAGCAACUGAGUUUAGGUAAAUUUCAUAGCAAUUUCCCAUGGAAUGGUUAUACAACGAUGUUCUUAUAUCACUCUUCUAUUUAUCCACAUAGUUAAUAUUUUCAAAAAGUUUACUCAAAUCCCUUUUUUAGAAUCUUGGAAUAAUA
rnacentral:lncRNA from 1 species